CUCAUUGCCACAUGUCAUGUUAUAUAUCAAUACAGUUUCAUUUACUUUGGUGCACUACUCUCUGAGAAAAUGCUGAUUUUAUGCAUUUUUCCAUAGGGUCAAUGCAAAACUUGGCCCCAGUUUCCAUGACAACGGCGGCCAUUUUGAACUAUCCAAAUAUUGUCUUGACAUCUUGGCAUACUGGAGAACAUUUUCAUAAAGUUUCAUCCAGUUGGAUCUUAUAACGAAAGAGUUAGAAUUUUUGAUAUUUUAGCUGUUUCCAUGGUAACGGCAGCCAUUUUGAAAAUUCCAAAGUCAAACUGCAAAUCAGCACAUGCCAGUUACCAUUCCUGUGGAGUUUCUUCCAGUUUGGAACACUUUGAUUUUUUUCGCAUUUUUGCUGUUUCCAUGGAAACGGCGGCCAUUUUUUACCAUUCCAUAGCAAGGUGCACAACUUCACAUGGGGGUCCUCAUUAUAGAAGAGUUCCAUCAACAUUGGUCCAUUGGAUUCCUAGAACUCGCGCGGACAAAAUGUAUGGAAGAAAAAUAAGAAAAACUAGAAUUGCCAUUGCAAGCAAUAGCGGAUGUCACCCUGGUCCGCCAAUUGCCACUAAACAGCAACCAUGGUAACGGCAGCCAUUUUGGAAAUUCCAAAGUUGAAAGCCGCAAUUGGAUUUACAAGUUAACAUUUCUGUAACGUUUCAUACAUUUUUGAAGAAUUUUCAAAAUUUCGCUAUUUUUGAACAGUUUCCAUGGCAACAUUUGAAAAUUCCAAAGUCAUACUGCUGCUUCAUAUUGUGCUCCCAUAAUAUUAUACCAUCAUAUAACAUGUAAUGGUUGUAGAAUUAAUUUAACCCUAAUGUUCUGGAAUGUUCCAUUACAUUUUCACAUUUUUGCUGUUUCCAUGGCAAUGGCAGCCAUUUUUUUAAUUCCAAAGUAAGGUGCACAACUACACAGGGUGGUGAACAUUAUGGUAUAGUUCCAUCAAAAUUGGUCCAUUAUAUUCCGAGAACUAAGCUGGACAAAAAGUGUGGAAUAAGAAUAAUAAUAACUAGAAUUGCCAUUGCAAGCAAUAGCGGAUGUCACCCUUCCCCCAUUGCCACUAAGCGGCAGCCAUUUCAAAACAACUUAACAGUGAAUGCAGAUCAAUGCAUUGCGAUAUAUCUUUCUGUAAAUUUUCAGUACAUUUUGAGCAUUGUCAAAAGUUUCACAUUUCUUCUGUUUCCAUGGCAACGGCAGCCAUUUUGAAAAUUCCGAAGUCAAAAGUCUCAUCUAUACAUGCCAGUUAACAAUAAUAUUAAGUUUCAUUAAGUUUGGAGCAUUUUGAAAAUAUUUGACAUUUCUGCAGUUUCCAUGGCAACGGUGGCCAUUUUGGAAAUUCCAACUUCAAAAGUCUCAUGCAGACUUGACAGUCAACAAAUAUAUUAAGUUUCAUCAAUUUUUGAGCAUUUUGAAAUUUUUGAAAUUUUUGACAUUUUGGCUGGUUUCUAUGGUAACACAGACCAUUCCAAAUUUCUAAUGGC
rnacentral:lncRNA from 1 species